AUGAUGCUCGCUUGCUCACCCUGCUCGGUAUCUACCACCAUGCCAUCAUCAUUGUCAUGCUACCUCUGGCUCGCCAUUGGGAUGGAGUUCUCAUGUGGAGUUGUUUGGAUGUGCGUGCAGGUGCAAGAAAUUCAGGAAGUUGGGCAAAGUAGGGUCGUUCUGGAGGCCAUCACUGUUGCGCAUCGCCGACCGGGCCAAAAUCUUGUCAGAUUAUGCGUGGACGCUAGCAACCUCGAAGCAUGCUACCAUCUUGGAAAUUAUCUGAUCGUAUUUCUGGGGAGCCGGGAGGUAGGAGCAACGCUGAUGAUGACCGUGACGGUGGGUGACACCGCCGGGAGGCAAUGCACUCCCUGUGUGUCGUUCAAUUCAUUGGCAUUGGUGCCACCAAGGACGAUCACAACAAAUGAUAUUUUUCCUUUGAUUUUCUUUCUGACGGUGGUGGAUUGGUUGCUCCUUGGUGCGUGGAUUUUUAAAUGUAGGCUGCUGGUGAGGAAACAAAGUUGGUGA
rnacentral:rRNA from 1 species